CCUACGGGAGGCAGCAGUGGGGAAUAUUGCGCAAUGGGCGAAAGCCUGACGCAGCGACGCCGCGUGAGGGAUGAAGGUCUUCGGAUCGUAAACCUCUGUCAGCAGGGCAGAACGGUCACUGUGCUAAUCAGCAGUGAAUUGACGGUACCUGCACAGGAAGCACCGGCUAACUCCGUGCCAGCAGCCGCGGUAAUACGGAGGGUGCGGGCGUUAAUCGGAAUUACUGGGCGUAAAGCGCUCGUAGGCGGUAUGUCAAGUCAAGGGUGAAAUCCCCGCGCUCAACGUGGGAACUGCCUUUGAAACUGGCAAACUGGAGUGUGUGAGAGGAUAGUGGAAUUCCAGGUGUAGGAGUGAAAUGCGUAGAUAUCUGGAGGAACAUCAGUGGCGAAGGCGACUAUCUGGCACAUAACUGACGCUGAGGAGCGAAAGCGUGGGUAGCAAACAGGAUUAGAUACCCCUGUAGUC
rnacentral:rRNA from 1 species